rnacentral:rRNA from 1 species
GUGGCCCUACGGGGCGCAGCAGUGGGGGAUAUUGCACAAUGGGGGGAACCCUGAUGCAGCGACGCCGCGUGGGCUAUGGAGUGCUUCGGCAUGUAAAGCCCUAUCAGCAGGGAAGAAAAUGACGGUACCUGACUAAGAAGCCCCGGCUAAAUACGUGCCAGCAGCCGCGGUAAUACGUAGGGGGCAAGCGUUAUCCGGAUUUACUGGGUGUAAAGGGAGCGUAGACGGCGGAGCAAGUCUGAUGUGAAAAUCCGGGGCCCACCCCCGGAACUGCAUUGGAAACUGUUUAUCUAGAGUGUCGGAGG